AUUGAACGCUGGCGGCAUGCCUUACACAUGCAAGUCGAACGGCAGCGCGGGAGCAAUCCUGGCGGCGAGUGGCGAACGGGUGAGUAAUAUAUCGGAACGUGCCCAGUAGUGGGGGAUAGCCCGGCGAAAGCCGGAUUAAUACCGCAUACGACCUACGGGUGAAAGGGAGGGAUCGCAAGACCUCUCGCUAUUGGAGCGGCCGAUAUCAGAUUAGGUAGUUGGUGGGGUAAAGUCCUACCAAGCCUCCUACCUGUAGUUGGUCUGGGAGGACGGCCAGCCACACUGGGACUGAGACACGGCCCAGACUCCUACGGGAGGCAGCAGUGGGGAAUUUUGGACAAUGGGCGAAAGCCUGAUCCAGCAAUGCCGCGUGCAGGAAGAAGGCCUUCGGGUUGUAAACUGCUUUUGUCAGGGAAGAAAUCCUCUGGGUUAAUACCUCGGGGGGAUGACGGUACCUGAAGAAUAAGCACCGGCUAACUACGUGCCAGCAGCCGCCGUAAUAC
rnacentral:rRNA from 1 species